AACGAACGCUGGCGGCAUGCCUAACACAUGUAAGUCGAACGAGACCUUCGGGUCUAGUGGCGCACGGGUGCGUAACGCGUGGGAACCUGCCCUUAGGUUCGGAAUAACUCCCCGAAAGGGGUGCUAAUACCGGAUAAUGUCUUCGGACCAAAGAUUUAUCGCCUUUGGAUGGGCCCGCGUUGGAUUAGCUAGUUGGUAGGGUAAAAGCCUACCAAGGCGACGAUCCAUAGCUGGUCUGAGAGGAUGAUCAGCCACACUGGGACUGAGACACGGCCCAGACUCCUACGGGAGGCAGCAGUGGGGAAUAUUGGACAAUGGGCGAAAGCCUGAUCCAGCAAUGCCGCGUGAGUGAUGAAGGCCUUAGGGUUGUAAAGCUCUUUUAACCGGGAUGAUAAUGACAGUACCGGGAGAAUAAGCGCCGGCUAACUCCGUG
rnacentral:rRNA from 1 species